UGCGUAGGCGGUUUGAUAAGUUAGAGGUGAAAUGUUAGGGCUUAACCCUGAAACUGCCUCUAAUACUGUUGAGCUAGAGAGUAGUUGCGGUAGGCGGAAUGUAUGGUGUAGCGGUGAAAUGCUUAGAGAUCAUACAGAACACCGAUUGCGAAGGCAGCUUACCAAACUAUAUCUGACGUUGAGGCACGAAAGCGUGGGGAGCAAACAGGAUUAGAUACCCCCGUA
rnacentral:rRNA from 1 species